UACGUAGGUGGCAAGCGUUGUCGGGACGCUUAUUGGGCCUAAAGCAUCCGUAGCCGGUUCUACAAGUCUUCCGUUAAAUCCACCUGCUUAACAGAUGGGCUGCGGAGGAUACUAUGGAGCUAGGAGGCGGGAGAGGCAAGCGGUACUUAGUGGGUAGGGGUAAAAUCCGUUGAUCCAUUGAAGACCACCAGUGGCGAAGGCGGCUUGCCAGAACGCACUCGACGGUGAGGGAUGAAAGCUGGGGGAGCAAACCGG
rnacentral:rRNA from 1 species